rnacentral:rRNA from 1 species
AUUGAACGCUGGCGGCAUGCCUUACACAUGCAAGUCGAACGGCAGCACGGACUUCGGUCUGGUGGCGAGUGGCGAACGGGUGAGUAAUGUAUCGGAACGUGCCCAGUCGUGGGGGAUAACGUAGUGAAAAUUACGCUAAUACCGCAUACGAUCUAUGGAUGAAAGCGGGGGAUCGCAAGACCUCGCGCGAUUGGAGCGGCCGAUAUCAGAUUAGGUAGUUGGUGGGGUAAAGGCCCACCAAGCCAACGAUCUGUAGCUGGUCUGAGAGGACGACCAGCCACACUGGAACUGAGACACGGUCCAGACUCCUACGGGAGGCAGCAGUGGGGAAUUUUGGACAAUGGGCGAAAGCCUGAUCCAGCCAUUCCGCGUGCAGGAUGAAGGCCCUCGGGUUGUAAACUGCUUUUGUACAGAACGAAAAGGUUUCUACUAAUACUAGGAGCUCACGACGGUACUGUAAGAAUAAGCACCGGCUAACUACGUGCCAGCAGCCGCAGUAA